rnacentral:rRNA from 1 species
UACGUAGGGUGCGAGCGUUGUCCGGAAUUACUGGGCGUAAAGAGCUCGUAGGUGGUUUGUCGCGUUGUUCGUGAAAACCGGGGGCUUAACCCUCGGCGUGCGGGCGAUACGGGCAGACUUGAGUACUGCAGGGGAGACUGGAAUUCCUGGUGUAGCGGUGAAAUGCGCAGAUAUCAGGAGGAACACCGGUGGCGAAGGCGGGUCUCUGGGCCGAUACUGACGCUGAGGAGCGACAGCGUGGGAG